GAAAUGCGAUAAGUAAUGUGAAUUGCAGAAUUCAGUGAAUCAUCGAAUCUUUGAACGCACCUUGCGCUCCUUGGUAUUCCUUGGAGCAUGCCUGUUUGAGUAUCAUGAAAUCUUCAAAGUAAAUCUUUUGUUAACUCAAUUGGUUUCUACUUUGGUAUUGGAGGUCUUUGCAGCUUCACACCUGCUCCUCUUUGUUCAUUAGCUGGAUCUCAAUGUUAUGCUUGGUUCCACUCGGCGUGAUAAGUUAUCUAUCGCUGAGGACACUGUAAAAGGUGGCCAAGGUAAAUGCAGAUGAACCGCUUCUAAUAGUCCAUUGACUUGGACAAUACUUUUAUGAUCUGAUCUCAAAUCAGGUAGGACUACCCGCUGAACUUAAGC
rnacentral:misc_RNA from 1 species